AUGAACGUUGGCGGCGUGGAUUAGGCAUGCAAGUCGAGCGAGAACCCAGCAAUGGGGGACAGCGGCGCAAGGGACAGUAAUGUGUAGAUCAUCUGCCCUCAGGCCCGGGAUAGCUGCGGGAAACUGCAGGUAAUACCGGAUAACAUCUCCGGAUCAAAGGUGUGAUUCCGCCUGAGGAUGAGUCUACAUCCUAUUAGCUAGUUGGCAGGGUAACGGCCUACCAAGGCGAUGAUGGGUAGCGGGUGUGAGAGCACGACCCGCGUCAUUGGGACUGAGACACUGCCCAGACACCUACGGGUGGCUGCAGUCGAGAAUCUUCGGCAAUGGGCGCAAGCCUGACCGAGCGACGCCGCGUGCGGGAUGAAGGCCUUCGGGUUGUAAACCGCUGUCAGAGGGGAUGAAAUGCAGGUGGGUUCUCCCAUCUGUUUGACAUAGCCUCAGAGGAAGGACGGGCUAAGUUCGU
rnacentral:rRNA from 1 species